rnacentral:lncRNA from 1 species
AUGGAUAGGAAGCAGGGGUCGUCACCACGGCUGCGUUGCCUGAGGCCUGCCAUGGAUCCGGAAUGUGGGCCUGAGAAGCUUUCUCCUCGACAUGGCAGUCGGAGCCGGCGACCCUGAGCACGCCGCCGGCGACGACCUCAGCUCGCCGUGGCCCCGCGCCGCGGUUGGGGUGAAUGCGGCAGGUGGAGAAAUGAAUGAAUGUGGGGGAUGGGGUCGGGGGUUUACCAGACCACGGCUCCAUGUGAAGGUUAAGUAAUAGUGCAGUCCACAUCUAUAGGAAACACAUGGCUAGCGCAAUGGUAAGGCACUUUCACUUUGGGUAGGAGCUCCUUGGUUCGAUUCUAGUUGAACCAAUUUUUUUGGGUUUUCUUCCAUCAUUUUUUUGUAUUUUGUUUUUAUAUUUUUGUAACAUCAUUUUUUAUCAGAUUUUUAAUUAGUAUGUUAUUACUUAUUACUUAAUACCCUCAUUUAUUUUCAAACCUCUUAAUACACCUUAAUACUUAAUAACCUCAUUUACUUAAUGCUUAAUAACCUCAUUUUUUCAUGCGAGAUGAUCGUGAUUGCACAACAUGGUUAGUACAUCCUUGUCACAAUACUCUGAAACUUUUAUGGGAUGUUAAUAGAGCCGAACUAUGAUGUUGUGUGCAUCCAUGCAAAUUUCUGACCAUGUUUGCCUAUUACUAAAAUUUUUUAUUGGAUUUGUGAAAGAUAAAUGUUAAAAGAAAAAAUUAGAAAACAGACAAAUUUUGGCUCCAUUUAGGUUCAAACCCGGGAGCUCAAGGGGUAUCACAGUGAGGCUUACCAUUGCGCUAGUUAGGUGAUUUUGUAAGAUAUUGUGCGAAGUUUUACGUAUAGGAAGGAUAAUACUUUUCUUACGCAAAAUUUCAAGGCUUACCGAAAGACAUUAGAUUAGAUUAGGGUG